rnacentral:lncRNA from 1 species
UGGCGGGGAAGAUGCAUCUUAGGUGCGCAUCACAAUGCCUUCCCUGUGGCAAGGAGCACAGGGCAGCUGUCUGGUCAUGCACAGGCUGACGGUGCACAUGAACUCCAACUCCUGAGCGCUGUGUGCUGCAGCCUUCUCCGGUGGGGAAAAUCUUCCAUCGUACUAAAGUCUGGAGACAGGAUGAAGGGGAAGAGUAUGUCUGAGGUGAAGAGGACACAAAGCUGGAAUCAAGACAGGACAGAGGAAAAGUCUGCCCUGAACCCCCCACCCUAUCCGUGCCUUCCUCUGUGUUAACUCUGUGCUGCCCUGCCGGUCUCCUAAGGCGGACAUUGGAUUCCAUCUGAACUGCAAGAGCUGUUGGAGUGUAGUCUCCUUAUUCCUCACAAGUUAGGAAGUCCUUGGCCUCGGCUUUCACUAUACUGUGUGGCCGAGGCUGCAGGCUGAAGGUGGCUGUUCCCCAGCUCAUGCCAAGGACACUGAUCAAACAGUAAAAAUGAAAUAGGCCAGUGCAAAUUCACCCACCCACACUUG